UCCGGGCAGUUUGUUCAUGUUCACCGUGCGCGAUUUUGAAAUUAUCGCCUCGAUGACCUAGCUAGAUGACCGCAAAAUGGUUAUAAAUAUGGACAUUCGUGCGAGCAACGAGUCAGACAAUCUACCUCACACGCCGGGCUACAAACGCUCUUGACCGUGCGCUUGACCAUUCACCAGCCAGCCGGGCGCUUGACCAUUCUGUUUCAGUGGUCAGCUGCCCGGCCAGACGGCUUGGUUGGAGUACAGCCGAUGGAGGGGUCACUGUAUGCCCGGUGCUUGGACUUCUUCGCGGAAAAAAAUGUUAUUGUCUCCUGCAGAUCCGCAAACGAUUCUCAUGCAGUCUUCCAUAUCUCGAUCUUCCAGAAGUGAACAAUCCUAAACGUCUUUCCGCCAAAUAACAUGAAUUGAUACCGCAUCAACUAGAUUCAAACCGCAGACAUUUCUUCCGUGUAUUACUUUGUUCAGCCAGUGUGGUCGCUUAUGUGGUGAUAUACGUUGUUCCUAUAUGGUACGACUCUACCAUGGAAAGGAGGAUGACAUCAUUUUGACCACCACUAAAUUCUUUGUGGACUCUUGCCCCAUGCACCUUCUGAAACCGAUGCGCCUCCGUAGUCCUGUAAUUCAGGAUAUCUGAAGUCAAAGCCAGGGGCUUUAGGCUCACCGUCAACGACAUCCUAACAGGACGAUCUCCCUCGACUGCUGGGCCGACUUAGCUACACGACGUUGUUCCGACAUCAGUCCUAUUCAUCCCAAUGACGAAAUGUUCGUUGAAGGGCGUGUAGAAGGUCGGUGACGAAGGGUUCUUUGAACAAAAGGCUGACCAAAAUGGUUGACAUUCACGGAGACAACAUGGCCAAGCAACUUCGACAGAAGGUGGGACACCAGCUUCGUAAAUCGUUGCGUCGGUCAUCGCCUCACUACCAAGAUGUCGCCAUGCCCCGAUGUCAUCCUCCGUAGCGUCGCCGAAGUGGUCUAGAAUAUCACACCACGUGUGGUGAUAUUCGUCGAGCCAUGAAUUCCUCGUCAGCUGUGUAUGCGCUCUGCCAAAGGUGCUUGUACGCCAGGGUACUGCUACAUAAGGCAAGCAUCCCGAAACCUCAGUCAGCUUAUACACCAUCCCCAAGUCCGUUCCUGGAGGAGCUCUUACCCGCUUCGGGAAAAUGCUGCUGUGUCGUGCGAUUUUUUUUUCAGGUGAGGCCCAGUCAUGCGGUUAUUUUAAGGCGUCAGGAAGAACAGAUGCCUUUUCUACUUUUGCGGUUCAACGAUAUUUGGCGGGAAAGGAUAAGGAGAUGUAACACUUCGGAGGUCAGCUGCGGUAACGACGUGAGUUUUACAGUGCUUUCUAUCUAGACUGAUUAGCUACGACCCUUGCACCCUGUGGAUUGGAUCACCAUCGGAAGGUCUUCUGACUUCAAAGAUGUCGGAUCAGAUUCCACUGGAAGAAGAAGGCUGUCGAAUUUUAAUACUGUCUGGAGAGAAGUCUGUUGUCCGCGUUGGAGUCCACCUUUGUAGUUUAGUUGUUUUCCUCUAUCCUCUAUAUUUUUAUCGCUCUCACUUUCCCUCUCUAUAUAUCUCUACCACACUCUCUUCCCCCAUCACACUAUCUUGACUCUACAUUAAUCACAUUUUACACCUUUACACCCCUUCUCUGCACGUAGUUUAUUAGAAUCUUUCUGACAUAUCUUUUUAACCAAUUUAAUAAAGCAGCUUUGUAAUUAAUGAUUAAACUAUAAGUUAUAAAAUUAUUGACUUUCAUCUAUUGUGACGUUGUGUUUCCUCUGUAAGAGGUCUGUAUUCGCAGUUUUAGUAAAAUUGUUGAUUUUUUUUAUGUAUUUCCUUCCUUUUAAAUCUUUCUAUAAACUAUUCCUAAAACGUGCGUGGAUGUCAUGCCUCCCAGUCCCAGCUAUGGUCACAGUUACGUGAAAAGAAUUGCCAAAACUAUUUAACUGAUGUUGUUUUCUGUGUACAAGGAAUCGUUGUUAAAUAUUUUACUAUAGAAAUUUCUUUGAAGUUGUUGAUAGUGUUGACAUGGUUUUUGAGACAGGCAGUUGCUCCCUUGUCAGCUUCUCGACCCCACCAACCACUAGUAUUAUGUUUGGGUUCAUAUUUUGCAUGAAAUCCUAUAUAUUGAUCUUUGUAAAUUCACAUUAACCCCAAAGUAAUGCACCGUAAUCAUUCAGUGCAGAUAGAACUGCGCAAAGAAUCAACAUUUUUACAGUUUCUUUCUUACCUUCGAAGUGCUUGUAUCUCUUGCUCGCUUUUCUUUCCUUUCCUUCUUACAGGGUUUUCGUAGAUGAUUUUAUCUAUGAAUAUCUCGCAGCCAAUUGAAAUGCAAAAGGACAUCUCAGGUAUACAUUCUUAAUGUAGAAACGGCUCUGACAAGUCCAAAUAUGGCGCGACAGUAUCUUUCGAUGUCUGUGUUUUGGGCAAGUUUCCCCUUGUGCGCGAUGUAUGCAAGUGCUUAUUUUUUAAUAUACUAAUUCGCUUUUCUCAUAAUGCUAGCUUCACAAAUAUGUGUAUCAUUAUAAUGGCUUAUUUCAAAAUUCAUUUUCUCAUAUCAGUGUUGGUCGAGGUAGGGGCAUCUAUUUGCAAUUACACACAUAGCAUUUUGGUAUAGCGCAUGCGCAAGCUGACGUCAGUAGCUGAUUAGAACUAGGUUAAAGUAGUAGUAUAGGUCUGGAAACUUUGUUUUCAUUCAUUGACGGUGUUUGUUCAGAAAUGCAUCACCUUUUAUGUUUAUUGAAUGAAAGCAUAGUUUCAGAAGGCCUAGUAUUUUUUGCAAUUCUUUGUAAACUAUACAAGUAGAGUAGAGUUAGAUCGUAGGAUAUAGCACCGAAACACUGAAUCUGAAAUAUGAAUGUAAAGUUAUGUAAUGUAUGUAAUGCUGAAUCAGAGUAACGUUUAUAUAUUUGUACUGAAUAUUGUUAAGAGAUGUAGGAAGGGAGUUAUGUACGCCUUAUGACGGUUAGAAGAAGCCGGAAUGUAAAGCCACACGAAAUUGCUGCAAAAAACUGUCGUAGAUUUAGAAAUGAACUUUUUUAUGUAUAUUGAUAUUUGAGUGUGUUGUAGUGUACGAGAAAUGACGCGUCGGUUGUUUUGCCUGCGUGCGCGUCAGUGAGUGAAGAAUAGGGUGGGGUGUAUGAGAGUGUGUGUGCGUCGUGUGUUGAUAUUUCCAUUUGAAUUAGCGUGUUCAAAAAAACGGAUGACGAAUUCAGAUAUGAUAGCCCGUAUUGUACAUAAAUGUAGGAUGAGGCAGUCUUUUGUCUAAAUGAUUUUGGUCCUAUAUUAUAUACUAGUAUCGAUGCUGAAAUAGUCGUGGUUUAUUUGGAUAUGUUUAUACGUAUGCUGAAAUGUCUUAUGUUAAAACCUGCUUCUUAAAGAAGCCUGUUUUAUUAAUCUAAAAACCGUUUUUAACUUUCUUUUUAGAAGCGGAUUUUAUUUUGCAAAACUGUUGACAAUGGUGCUGAUUUGAAAUAUUUUUAGUAGAUUUUCAUCAUUUUUUUCCCGUUUCUCUACCUGCUUUUAAUGCGCGUAUUAGGAUGGAGUUGAGACAACUUCCUGCGCCGCAUUACCGGUGAUGUCAUCAUUUACCAUGGCAACCCUGAUAAACUUUCAGCCAAUCACAGGGACUGGUCAUUGCUGGAGAAACACAUUUUCUUUUCUUUGCACUUUCACUAUGUCUUGUUCAUUUUAGAAACAUUCUAGAUCUCAUUUGUAAUAUUUCCAUAGUAGUUUAUGUUCGCAAUUUCCACUGAAAUAUUUUUUUUUUAGAAACGUUGAUUGUCGAUAUUUAUAUUAUUUUUAUUAUUUUAUUUUGUGGUAAGUCCGUCAUUAUACCCUGCCAUUUUCAGAUAAUCGGGGGGGGGGGGGUAAUCACUGUCCACAUUUUGAUUAAGUAAAAAAGACGAUUCCUACCAUAACAUGUGUCGGUAUAUCAACAGAUCUAGGUCCGUGGUAUAGGAGGUUACCAUAACAUGAUAUGCUGCUUUGAUAUAGAAAUGCUGUCGUACCUACUUAGUUUGCUGAGAAGGGUUUAGUAUUGGAUGAUGUGAAAAAUUACUGACAUUGUAUUAGACUCUUGUUACUUAUAGCAUUGAAACUGAAUACGAUAUCGUAUGAUAGAUUAUGCUGCAUUAGUUGUUAAGAUGACAAAUUAUUGUUUUGCAUAUAUUGAACGGUACGUUAGCUAUAGAAUGCUUAGGACAAUCAGUGAUAUCCAACAUUAAAAUCGUUACAGAAAGUCGGAUUGCUUCGGGCACGAACGAGAAUUGUCCCAUGUGAUUAGGUUAGAGUUACCUAAGUUCCAAAUUGAACGGUAUUUACAAAAUUUCUGAACGGGGCUUGGUGGGUGUGAAGGAUCUCAGUAACAUGAAUUAUCUAUUGCUCUAACCAAAGUAUAAAGUUCAGUCAUAUGCUGCUAUGGAGACCGUUUCAGAUGUAACUUUUGGUGUAGACGGUCCCCUGUACACCACGUUAUUGCUGCAUGAAGGAAUGACAUUUUAUAUGUUACAUCCUUCAUAAAUGUAUAAUAUCACAUAGGAGUUCCUUUCGUUUAAGUGCAGUUCCUAAACUCCAAAGUUCUUUUAAACAGUUGUGAUUUAAUUUAAGCCUCACACUGAAAGCAUGCUGCAUAGAUUACAAAUAUUUGGAUAAUAUGAAUAUCACGGUUACCUUUCUUAGCUUUAAGGAAAACUCGUCCGAUUGCCAAAUGAAAUUAUGAAAAAAACAAUCCUCAGAAAUCUCGUUUUUUUAUCGCUCUUAAAUGUUAUUGUUAGGUUGAAACCAGUUUUCAUCAAAAGUAGAUUAACUCUUUGUAGGGCAAGCUAUUCAUCAAAAUUAUUAUUUUCCAAAAUGAUUAUGCUGAUGAUUAUACUACAUACACAGUGCUGCGCAUGCUCUUUAUUACAUUCUAUAUUUAUAUCGAGUCCUAUAAUGUAAACGAGCUUCAUUAAUAUGCUACUUUAUAUGCUUGCAUUAAUUUAAAUUUAAACUAGCUGAUAAGUAUUUAACAUGAAGGUGGAGAGACAAAUUCUACGUACUGCUGCAAACUGUGUCUACGCGCUGACUACGCAAAUUGACCGGUUAUACACCACAGAUCUGCUGCAAUGUAACAUAAAGUAGUUUGCUGAGAGGCCGUUGUCAAAUCGACUUCAACAAAUAGAUAUUAAACGCGAUGGACAUUCGUAUAUACGUGUAUGGUAGCUUUAAAUCUACUAAUUGCUGCAACAAAAUAUUGUCUAAAUUGGUUGUGUCCGACACACUUAAUAGACAAAGUUUACACCACAUCAGUGCUGCGUAAAACCGUAGAUAUAGAUGACAUGAAAAUCGUUAAAGCGGAUCGCAGACCUACUAAAAAUUGUACAUAUUCGUUCCUGAUCAUGAGCAAUUAAUACUGUUUGUUUUCCGGUUUGUAAACCGAGAUUUUUCAUUUUGAUAGGGCUGAAAUUUGAGGAACAAGCACCGUUUAACCCAUAAGGCGAAAUCCUCCCUUUCUCCAGCGAAUGAAUGCAUGCACUUUUGUAUUUUAUAACUUUUAUUGCCAUAUUUCACUUAGUACCAUUCUGUUGAAGUUGCCAUCUUUUAGAUAAUGCCUAUAUAUAUUUUGUGCAAAUGUAAAGUCCAAUUUGAUAAUGUAUAUAAUGUUGUUUGCAUAUAAUACACUCAUAUAUUUGUGUGACUUGUGAACAAAUGUGAACGUCAAAAGUGACUUUACUGUACAAAAUGGAAAUCACUAUCCUAUCUAAUUCAGUUGUACUGAAACGAACUCGAAAACGAAUUAUUUCAUGUUAAGAACAAUGAACAUACAUUCUGCAAAUAUUCUUCCGAAAGAGUGGAUUUUCUACAGAAUCUUUCUUAAAUGUUACGAUUAUUUCCCGAUUUUAAAAUACUAAGUAUUUCAAUACCUCAUCUCGUUAGUGUCAAAUCUGCAAAUGAUUUAUCCAUUGUCUUGAAGGGAUAAUCUUGCAUUUUAUUCGUGAAUGUGGGAUUGUUGUUUUUCUCAGAAAUUGACAAUUCUAUAAUACGUAGGAAAUAAUGAACGAGGAUGGGAUUUAAAUGUGGGUGUGUAUGUGUAAGCUCGUCCCCCUUUGUUGUUGUUUUUUUUAUACAUUUAUCAUCCAGGGUACUUUUAUAUUACCCCCCUCCCCUCCAAAAAAAAAAUCCGUCUCCAAAUUGGCUAUUACACAUGUUUCAGAUGAAAAUGAAAAUUGCAUUUAGGUGUGUGAUUCACUAUAAUUAUCAUUAUGUGUAAAUUGGCUUUGGUAUGCAACAAAUAUUAUUGUAUUCAGGGUCAUUUUCUAGGCCAACUAAAAGUAUACGUUUCUUAAUAUGUGAACUAUUAUCUUGUAAGUGCUGUAGAAACGUGAGAAAAAAAAUUGUCAUGUUAAGACAAAUAUUGUUAAUAGAAGGAAAAUGUGAAAUGUGCCAUUGAAAGUGAACUUAGAAUUAGCGGUAUCACACUUUUUGUUUCAUGAGCAGAUGUUCUACAUCCUUUAUCUCUUUAUAAUUUUUGUAAUAGUUGAUGUAAUAGAAAAACUACCAAUUACCAUGUUCCGUGAUAUCUGAUACAAUUUUCCCCAUCACUUAAGGUUUUGCGUCCACGAUUGGGGGUCUCUCAGGAUGUUUAAAUUACGAGAUUAUUUUUUGGUUUUUAUCUCUUUUUGUAUAUCUAAUUUUAGAAUUAAUAUUCUUCUUGUAGAUUGAGGAUAUAAGAAUAGGUAUAGUUGUGAUAUAGUCAUGGUAGUGAUAGUGUAUGUUUAGUGUAUAUUUAGUAUAGUGCAUUAUUCACAGUUUGUUUUAUUCUCAUGUGAAAUGAUGGUACAAGUAUCAAAUUUUAUACGAAAUUUGCAUCUUCGUAUUGUGAUUAUUCACAAACUGCUCCGUCGAUAUAUAUUUUUUUUCUUUUAGAAAUGUAUUUCAUUUUCGGGUGAUGCAUAUUGGGAAUGCUGGGCAUUUUCUUUUGGCAUUGUUGUGUAAUUUGUCGAUGCUGUUACCAUGGUCACUGUAUACAAAAAAACUGCGGAUAUCCCUAAACUUAAGCCUAUUGGAAAUAGUCGCUUCUGGCCAAAUACAAUUUUUUUUUCACAAAUCCGUAAAACGAUUUUCACGAUUUGUUAUUGUAUAUAAAAUUGAGCUCUUGUCACAGUUUUGCCGUGAUGAGGAUUCUACGCGUCUGAGCACUUGAUUUGCUCAUUGCUCUCAGAAUCAAUGAAUUACGUUUUAUGAAUAUUGGUGUUUAUUAAAUCAUCCCCCUUUCAUAAAGUAAUAAUGUUUAAAAUGCCAAAUUGAAAAGGGGAAACUUUCAUUGCACCGACUGUAAUUAGCAUCUGUAAAUUCUUUAUUUUGAUGUAAAUAAAAUGAUUUGAAAGC